CCGCGGCGGAAGGAAAGGCUUGGUCGGAGGGGCGUCCGUCCGGGAGGACACGCGCAGGGAGGGGAGCCAGAGCGCCGAGGCGCCAGCACACACAGAAGCAUUUCCCUGCACACACCCAGGCAGAACGCGCCAACGAGGGCCGGUCCGGGUCCGGGGCAGGGAAUGGGGGCGCGGGCUGGUGAUUUUAGUACUGGGAAGCCGGGGAAGGCGAGUGAGCUGCCCUGCGGAAGCCCGGCCUCUGGACAGCAGCAGGGAGCUUUAACCUUGAUUUCUAGAGUCUUGUCCAGGGCUAGGGGCCCUGCCAGUUCGAGGGAGCCGUCCUCCGGCCUUCCGGGUACCCUACCCGCAGCCAAGAAAGUAAAACAGCCCCGGAAACUGACCGUGAACCAAUUCUCUGACCAGGAAGGCAUCUGUGCUCUUCUCCCCACACUCACUCAGGAAUGGGCUGGCCUUGGAUUUCAGGCCCAGAGACUGAACUUGUGGGUAAAUCGGGUUUCCGCCUCAGCAGAACACUUCUUUAGGGUCCGACGCUCAUUAAAGUGCUCCAGCAUUCUGGGGGAACCUAAUUGCCCUACUCCUUCACAAAAACAUUUCCCAACAAAUCCUUUGUGCCCACUCCCCAGAAAGAAUUUCCCCUGGCCUGGUGAAAACAGUCACUGAACAUUAUUUUCAGCCUUGGGACCGAUUUGCUUGUCCCCUCUCAGUGCCCUUGCCCAAACAAUAACCCCUUUUAAAAAACUCCGCGGUGGCAAUGAGACAGACCUUUUAAACCUUUACGCAGCUGUUCAAAUACAACAUCACUGUCAGGUUAAAAGCCUGGCGCCUCUAACUGCUCAGGCUGCAGCACCCCGGCUUAACUGGAGGUUUAAACAUUACCUUUCCACAGGGGUGGCUAUUUUUGAGAUUGAGGGUGGGGGUUGGAGGAGGCAGGAAAACACACACACACACAACUUUUGACUCUAGGUUGCUAAGAUCCCCUUCAACGCCAGCAGCCACUAAUCAGCGCCCCCAAAUUUCUUUUCCCACAUUGUGGACAUCUUGUUUUGAGCCACAGCUAAUAGUGCCCAGAGCUCGACAAAGUGCCCGCUGCACUCACUAGCGGUGAGAGCCCUGACGACGCCAGCCUGGCGCUCCAGCAUUUGUGUCCCUUUAUAUCUCGGCCAGGAGAGCUGCCUGAAACUCGGUUGCCCACUUUUCCCUAUCUCUAGAGAGGCAGAACUGUUCAAUCUAAUCAGGAAUUUUAUGCCCAUCAAAUGCCCUUUCAUAAUCUUUAUUUAUACACGAAGAAGACAUCUAGGCUAAAAAAACAAGCUAUUCCUUGUGGAGCGGGUAGGUUGUCAGUGAGCCAGGGCAGAGAGAAUCUGCCUUCUGUAUUUGGGAGCCUUUCUAUUUCGGCUCACUGUGACUUCGAGCUCAAAGUCACCCCACAUUGGAUUGGGUUUGAAACAAAUCUUCAUUCAUAGGGGCUUAUCAGAUAUAAUUUUGAAUCUAUUUUUACAGAAUUCUAUUUUUUGUCUUUCAAAUUUUGGCUUUCAGAUCAGUUCUUCAGGGCCAGAAAUGGUAAUUUUAAGUGAUUUUUGUUAUCAAAAAUCAAGCAAAAUAGAAAUAAUCCAAAGAGAAUGAGCUGGAUAGAGGAGAAGGGAAAGUGUGCCUUAAGAGCUUAACGUGG
rnacentral:lncRNA from 1 species